AGGCUUAACACAUGCAAGUCGAACGGUGUGUAGCAAUACAUCAGUGGCAGACGGGUGAGUAACACGUGGGAACCUUCCUCGUUGUACGGAACAACUCAGGGAAACUUGAGCUAAUACCGUAUACGUCCGAGAGGAGAAAGAUUUAUCGCAAUGAGACGGGCCCGCGUCGGAUUAGCUAGUUGGUGGGGUAACGGCCUACCAAGGCGACGAUCCGUAGCUGAUCUGAGAGGAUGAUCAGCCACACUGGGACUGAGACACGGCCCAGACUCCUACGGGAGGCAGCAGUGGGGAAUCUUGGACAAUGGGCGCAAGCCUGAUCCAGCCAUGCCGCGUGAGUGAAGAAGGCCUUAGGGUUGUAAAGCUCUUUUGCCAGGGACGAUAAUGACGGUACCUGGAGAAUAAGCCCCGGCAAACUUCGUGCCAGCAGCCGCGGUAAUACGAAGGGGGCUAGCGUUGUUCGGAUUUACUGGGCGUAAAGCGCACGUAGGCGGGUCGUUAAGUCAGGGGUGAAAUCCCGGAGCUCAACUCCGGAACUGCCUUUGAUACUGGCGACCUUGAGGCCGGAAGAGUAGUGGAAUUCCCAGUGUAGAGGUGAAAUCCGUAGAUAUUGGGAAGAACACCAGUGGCGAAGGCGGCUAACUGGUCCGGAUCUGACGCUGAGGUGCGAAAGCGUG
rnacentral:rRNA from 1 species